AUACAAAACCAAUGCCCUUCGGGGCUCUCUUGGUGAUUCAUGAUAACUUCUCGAAUCGCACGGCCCCGCGCCGGCGAUGGUUCAUUCAAAUUUCUUCCCUAUCAACUUUCGAUGCUACGGUAUUGUCCUAGCAUAGUUG
rnacentral:rRNA from 1 species